CCUACGGGAGGCAGCAGUAGGGAAUAUUGCUCAAUGGGGGAAAGCCUGAUGCAGCCACGCCGCGUGGAUGAUGAAGGUUUUCGGAUUGUAAACUACUUUUGUUAGAGAAGAUAAUGACGGUAUCUAACGAAUAAGCACCGGCUAACUCCGUGCCAGCAGCCGCGGUAAUACGGAGGGUGCAAGCGUUACUCGGAAUCACUGGGCGGAAAGAGCGCGUAGGUGGGAUAGCAAGUCAGAUGUGAAAUCCCAUGGCUUAACCAUAGAACUGCAUUUGAAACUGGUAUUCUAGAGUAUGGGAGAGGGAGGUGGAAUUCUUGGUGGAGGGGUAAAAUCCGUA
rnacentral:rRNA from 1 species